rfam:Dipodomys ordii contig_43344, whole genome shotgun sequence.
GUGAAUGUGGCUUAGUGGCAGAGUGCUUGCCUAGCAUGCAUGAAGCCCUGAGUUCAAUUCCUCAGUACCACA